AACCAGCACCUCAAGUGGUCAGGAUGAUUAUUGGGCCUAAAGCAUCCGUAGCCGGUUCUGUAAGUCUUCGGUUAAAUCUAACAACUCAAGUUAUGGACUGCCGAAGAUACUGCAGGGCUAGGGAGUGGGAGAGGUAGACGGUACUCGGUAGGAAGGGGUAAAAUCCUUUGAUCUAUUGAUGACCACCUGUGGCGAAGGCGGUCUACCAGAACAUGUCCGACGGUGAGGGAUGAAAGCUGGGGGAGCAAACCGG
rnacentral:rRNA from 1 species